rnacentral:rRNA from 1 species
UACGUAGGGGGCGAGCGUUGUCCGGAAUCAUUGGGCGUAAAGCGCGUGUAGGCGGCCCGGUAAGUCCGCUGUGAAAGUCACAGGCUCAACCUGUGAAAGCGGAUGGAUACUGCUGGGCUAGAGUCCGGAAGAGGCGAGUGGAAUUCCUGGUGUAGCGGUGGAAUGCGCAGAUAUCAGGAGGAACACCAACGGCGAAGGCAGCUCGCUGGGACGGUACUGACACUAAGGCGCGAAAGCGUGGGGAGCGAACAGG